CAUACGUUACUCGUUGUCGAGAGAGAAGAGUCGAAUCAUUUCGAAAGUAUUCAAAGAUAACGACGAAGCUCAUUGCGGGGAGGUCAGAGUCGAAUCUAAUCUGGUAGCCAUCGCCGGAAACCCAAUACAGUCCGCUUCAGGUUCAUUCUCUUUCUAAUUAUUAGAAUUGCGCCACUGAUCGCCCGCCCUUAUCGCCCCAUUCCUCAUCAACGGUUUACCUGUGGAAUACUAAACUGCUGCGUGCGUAUAUGUUCGAAUUGGUAUUGCGAACCUUGCUUCCCUAAGGAAAUAGGUUAGGUAGUGAAAAAGGGUAUAGAUUAUAUAUAGGUACCCAACUAUCUGAAUGUGAGGACCCCAUAACUAAUCCUUCAGUUAACUUGCUUCCCUAAGGAAAUAGGUUAGGUAGUGAAAAAGGGUAUAGAUUAUAGGUACCAGCAGUGCUCCAAGAGUGUUUCAGCACCUGCAAAUGAAUAAUGAAUUUGAUCUUCUCUCUCAACACUGGCGCCGGCUUGGCUCUCUACAUCGUCUCAUCAUCAUUCCCUUCAUCGGUAACCUUCUUCAUUCUACACACUCAUUCGAUCCCCUUUCUAUUUUUGUAACCUUCUUCAUUCUACACACUCUUUUGAUCCCCUUUCUAUUUUUGUAAUCUUGCUCACCAUCUGUUUAAUGAAAUGCGUCCGAGAACCUCUUUUUUUUUUUUAAUGAUCAGUUGAAUUGAAUAUGGUAAGGUUUGCAAUUUUGAUUAACAUGAACAACUCUACAUUGAACACUGAAAUGGUUUAUGUAUAGUGCUUGCUGUUCCAUUUGGUGUAGGGUAAAUUUUGUGGAAUUUCCAGAGUUGAUAGAGAUUGAUUUGUUUUGAAUCUAUUUUAAGGAAGUCUGUUGGAUUUUGGUACUAUUCAAUUUGAGAUGAGUAGUUAGUUCCUUGAUUGUUUUGUAACUCAAUUUUGAGUUAUGCAGCUUAUUCGUUCCAUAUUUCAUUUUUCUCGCUUAAUGUGUUUUAAAGCUGAAGAUUGACCGGAAGUUAUGGUUUAUUGUUUUGUUAUGAAAUGGAAUGGAAUGGUGCAGCAGUUCCAACGGUGGAGGCUGGAGCAGAGCUAGUGCUCAUGGACCAGUUGAUGGCUGAAUAUGCCCAAUGACUCUUUUUGUGUA